rnacentral:rRNA from 1 species
UACGUAGGGUGCGAGCGUUAAUCGGAAUUACUGGGCGUAAAGCGUGCGCAGGCGGUUUUGUAAGCCAGAUGUGAAAUCCCCGGGCUUAACCUGGGAAUGGCAUUUGGGACUGCAAGGCUGGAGUGCGGCAGAGGGAGACUGGAAUUCUGGUGAGCAGUGAAAUGCGUAGAUAAUCAGGAGGAAUACCGAUGGCGAAGGCAGGUCGUCUGGGCUGACACUGACGCUCAUGCACGAAAGCGUGGGGAGCAAACAGG